CGGUAGUCCAGUGGUUAGCACGUCGGCUUCACAGUGCAGAGGUACCGGGUUCGAUUCCAGCUCCGGCCUCCCUGUGUGAAGUUUGCAUGUUCUCCCCGGGCCUGCGUGGGUUUUCUCCGGGUGCUCCGGUUUCCUCCCACAUUCCAAAAACAUGCGUGGCAGGCUGAUUGGACGCUCUAAAUUGUCCCUAGGUGUGAGUGUGAGUGCGAAUGGUUGUUCGUUUCUGUGUGCCCUGCGAUUGGCUGGCAACCGAUUCAGGGUGUCCCCCGCCUACUGCCCGAAGACAGCUGGGAUAGGCUCCGGCACCCCCCGCGACCCUAGUGAGGAUCAAGCGGCUCGGAAGAUGAAUGAAUGAAUUGGAAGGAUGUAUAGCACAAUUUUUAGCAAGCCUAUUAUUAUUUUUUUUUUUUGGGGGGGGGGGGGAGAAAAAGUCCAAAGUAGUAUACUGUGGUCUUCGAUGUGGAGGUCAGUGGGUUACCAGGGGAGGUAGGUGUGGUUUUGGCAUAUGGAUUUUUUUUUUUUUCGGGUGGAGCUGGGGUAACAAAGCGGCGCUAAUUAAGGGUCUGGUUGGCCGGAAACUUGACAGGAGCAGCUGCUUACGGUUUUGCAUCUGAGGUACUCAACAAAAUAACAAUAUGGGGAACUUCUUGCAGACAUUAGAGAGGAAGCUCAAGGAUUUGUCAUGGAUGGGGAUCUUCAAGGGAAAGGACACACGGAA